rnacentral:lncRNA from 1 species
GAGAGAAGAGGGAAGAGCAUCGCCGGAGGGGGCUUGGCACCGUCGCCGCCUCCGUUCGUCGGGCCCUGCUACGCCGUCGCCACCAUCCCCAGCGUCGCCCAGCCUUGCCCGCGCUGCAGUGCCUCCUGUCAGCCAUUUGUGGAGCCGCGGAGAGCAUCGCCGUUGAAGCCAUGCCGUCGCAGAAGGAGCCAGAGGAGGGAGACGAGCCCGAGC